GUUCAACUCUCCUAAAAAGAAAGAAAGAAAGAAAGAAAGAAAAUGAUGAGAAUUCAUAAAUAAGAUUUAUCGGUAAAAUUCUCUUGGAUUUUUAAUGAAUUUUAAUAAUUAUACCUUCGAUCUCUUGGAAAUCUCGUACCGAAAGAUUUGUCAAAAGACCGGCGAUGCAAUCGCGAAUCAAUACCUGUCAAUAAUUUUAAAAUAACAUUAAUUAGCGAUAAUAUACAUGGGUCUGGAGAUUUUGCUCAACAGAUUUCUUCGUUUUAUGAUAUACAAAUUAAGCCAAAGUAAGCCUUCUCUACAAGGAGAGGUAUUCGUACUUGAGAGAUUUUUUUUUUUGUUGGAUAAGAUAUUCAAUAAACCAAGCAUUUUACGAGGAUCGAAGCUUUCAAAGA